ensembl:snRNA U6 U6 spliceosomal RNA
GUACACAGGUUAGCAGCACAUAUACUACAAUUAGAACAAUACAGAGAAAUUAGUAUUGCUACUCUACAAUGAUGGCAUGAAAACUCAUAAAGAUUUCCAUACUUUU